UACGGGGGGGGCAAGCGUUGUUCGGAAUUACUGGGCGUAAAGGGCUCGUAGGCGGCCAACUAAGUCAGACGUGAAAUCCCUCGGCUUAACCGGGGAACUGCGUCUGAUACUGGAUGGCUCGAGUUUGGGAGAGGGAUGCGGAAUUCCAGGUGUAGCGGUGAAAUGCGUAGAUAUCUGGAGGAACACCGGUGGCGAAGGCGGCAUCCUGGACCAACACUGACGCUGAGGUGCGAAAGCGUGGGGAGCAAACAGG
rnacentral:rRNA from 1 species